UCGUGGAGUGAUUUGUCUGGUUUAUUCCGUUAACGAACAAGACCUCGACCUGCUAAAUAGUCACGCUAAUCUUCUUGAUUGGUGGCAGUACUUCUUAGAGGGACUUUCGGUCGCUUAGCCGAAGGAAGUUCGAGGCAAUAACA
rnacentral:rRNA from 1 species